rnacentral:rRNA from 1 species
AUUGAACGCUGGCGGCAGGCCUAACACAUGCAAGUCGAGCGAGCGGCGGACGGGUGAGUAAUGUCUGGGAAACUGCCUGAUGGAGGGGGAUAACUACUGGAAACGGUAGCUAAUACCGCAUACCAUCAGAUGUGCCCAGAUGGGGUUAGCAAGUAGGUGGGGUAACGGCUCACCUAGGCGACGAUCCCUAGCUGGUCUGCGAGGAUGACCAGCACCACUGGACCUGAGACAGGGUCCAGACUCCGAGGGGCGGAAGCAGGGGGGAAUAUUGCACAAUGGGGGCAAGCCUGAUGCAGCCAUGCCGCGUGUGUGAAGAAGGCCUGCGAGUUGUAAGGCACUUUCAGCGGGGAGGCGGUACCCGCAGAAGAAGCACCGGCUAACUCCGUGCCAGCAGCCGCGGUAAUUC